AUUGAACGCUGGCGGCAGGCCUAACACAUGCAAGUCGAACGGUAGCACAGAGAGCUUGCUCUCGGGUGACGAGUAGCGGACGGGUGAGUAAUGUCUGGGAAACUGCCCGAUGGAGGGGGAUAACUACUGGAAACGGUAGCUAAUACCGCAUAACGUCGCAAGACCAAAGUGGGGGACCUUCGGGCCUCACACCAUCGGAUGUGCCCAGAUGGGAUUAGCUAGUAGGUGGGGUAAUGGCCCACCUAGGCGACGAUCCCUAGCUGGUCUGUGAGGAUGACCAGCCACACUGGAACGGGGACACGGUCCAGACUCCUACGGGAGGCAGCAGUGGGGAAUAUUGCACAAUGGGCGCAAGCCUGAUGCAGCCAUGCCGCGUGUAUGAAGAAGGCCUUCGGGUUGUAAAGUACUUUCAGCGGGGAGGAAGGCGGUGAAGUUAAUAACUUCACCGAUUGACGUUACCCGCAGAAGAAGCACCGGCUAACUCCGUGCCAGCCGCCGCCGUAA
rnacentral:rRNA from 1 species